GGUGCACUACUUUUGCACUGUGUUCAACCAUUCAGUCAAUAAUAAGUGCUGCUGUGAAGAGAACAAUUCUCAGACUGAAUGUUGAACAUCAGCUAGUUUCUCCUGUUGAUUUAAACCUUGUUGUAGAGAUGGAACAUUGGCUGUGGAUUAUUCUUGCUGCUCUUUUCUUUGAGUGUAAAGGAGAAGACAGAGUGAUCCAGCCAACAGGAGAUGUCAUUACUACUGAAGGAGAGACAGUUACUCUUGGCUGUACAUUUGAGACAACUGAUCCAAGUCCAACGUUGUUCUGGUACAAACAAGGAGAAAAUGAUUACCCAAAGAUGAUGCUGCAACGUUUCUCUGUGAAAAAAGAUAAUUCUAAAGAGCAAGAGAGAAUUGAUGCAACAAUCAAGGAUAAGUCAGUUCCUUUGAAGAUCCAGAAGCUUCAGCUGUCUGACUCUGCUGUGUACUACUGUGCUCUGAGGCCCACAGUGACAGGAAACACC